AUUGAACGCUGGCGGCAUGCCUUACACAUGCAAGUCGAACGGCAGCACGGGAGCAAUCCUGGUGGCGAGUGGCGAACGGGUGAGUAAAGUAUCGGAACGUGCCCAGUCGUGGGGGCUAACGUAGCGAAAGUUACGCUAAUACCGCAUACGAUCUAUGGAUGAAAGCGGGGGAUCGCAAGACAUCGGGCGAUUGGAGCGGCCGAGAUCAGAUUAGGUAGUUGGUGGGGUAAAGGCUCACCAAGCCGACGAUCUGUAGCUGGUCUGAGAGGACGACCAGCCACACUGGGACUGAGACACGGCCCAGACUCCUACGGGAGGCAGCAGUGGGGAAUUUUGGACAAUGGGCGCAAGCCUGAUCCAGCCAUGCCGCGUGCAGGAUGAAGGCCUUCGGGUUGUAAACUGCUUUUGUACGGAACGAAAAGGUUUGGCUUAAUACGUUGAACUCAUGACGGUACCGUAAGAAUAAGCACCGGCUAACUACGUGCCAGCAGCCGCCGCCG
rnacentral:rRNA from 1 species